CCUGCCCCUAGAGACAUUGCAGGUGUGGCUGUUGUGUCCCCCAUGCCUCAGUAGGUGGCAGAGAGGAGAGGCUAUGUCUCUGCUCAGUGUCUGACCUGUGAACAUCUGAAUGCUCGGUUGCCUAAUAUU